UACGGGGGGGGGGCAAGCGUUGUUCGGAAUUACUGGACGUAAAGGGCUCGUAGGUGGCCAACUAAGUCAGACGUGAAAUCCCCAGGCUCAACUUGGGGAACUGCGUCUGAUACUGGAUGGCUUGAAUUCGGGGAGAGGGAUGCAGAAUUCCAGGUGUAGCGGUGAAAUGCGUAGAUAUCUGGAGGAAAUACCGGUGGCGAAGGCGGCAUCCUGGACCGAUAUUGACACUGAUGAG
rnacentral:rRNA from 1 species